rnacentral:rRNA from 1 species
UACGUAGGGUGCAAGCGUUGUCCGGAAUUAUUGGGCGUAAAGAGCUCGUAGGCGGUCUGUCGCGUCGGCUGUGAAAACCCGGAGCUCAACUCCGGGCCUGCAGUCGAUACGGGCAAACUAGAGUACUGCAGGGGAGACUGGAAUUCCUGGUGUAGCGGUGAAAUGCGCAGAUAUCAGGAGGAACACCGGUGGCGAAGGCGGGUCUCUGGGCCGUUACUGACGCUGAGGAGCGAAAGCGUGGGGAGCGAACAGG